rnacentral:misc_RNA from 1 species
AGUCAUCAACCCCUCCCGUUUUGUGCGGAGAGCCAGGUUGGACCUGGGGGUUUGCUGCUGUUGGGCGGCUCCCCCCAAAUGAGUCGGUCGGGCCUGCGGGUCGAACUCGGUUGGGCGUUGUACCAUCCUCGCUCUGGUCCGAGAUGUUCCCCAUUUGUUGAGCCCUUCCAAGACCGCUGUGGAGUGGUGGUCAAGCUGAAACUUUGAA